AUUGAACGCUGGCGGCAGGCCUAACACAUGCAAGUCGAGCGGAUGAAGGGAGCUUGCUCCUGGAUUCAGCGGCGGACGGGUGAGUAAUGCCUAGGAAUCUGCCUGGUAGUGGGGGAUAACGUCCGGAAACGGGCGCUAAUACCGCAUACGUCCUGAGGGAGAAAGUGGGGGAUCUUCGGACCUCACGCUAUCAGAUGAGCCUAGGUCGGAUUAGCUAGUUGGUGGGGUAAAGGCCUACCAGGGCGACGAUCCGUAACUGGUCUGAGAGGAUGAUCAGUCACACUGGAACUGAGACACGGUCCAGACUCCUACGGGAGGCAGCAGUGGGGGAUAUUGGACAAUGGGCGAAAGCCUGAUCCAGCCAUGCCGCGUGUGUGAAGAAGGUCUUCGGAUUGUAAAGCACUUUAAGUUGGGAGGAAGGGCAGUAAGUUAAUACCUUGCUGUUUUGACGUUACCAACAGAAUAAGCACCGGCUAACUUCGUG
rnacentral:rRNA from 1 species